rnacentral:rRNA from 1 species
CACCGCGGUUAUACGAGAGACCCGAGUUGAUGGCCAUCGGCGUAAAGCGUGGUUAAGAGAAAACUCACACUAAAGUCAAACAUCUUCAAGACUGUUAUACGUAACCGAAGACAGGAAGUUCAACCACGAAAGUGACUUUAUUUGGUCUGAGGCCACGAAAGCUGGGGGA